rnacentral:misc_RNA from 1 species
GGAAGUAAAAUCGUAACAAGGUCUCCGUUGGUGAACCAGCGGAGGGAUCAUUACCGAGUUAUCAACUCCCAAACCCCUGUGAACAUACCCAACGUUGCUUCGGCGGGACCGCCCCGGCGCCCUCGGCGUCCCGGAACCAGGCGCCCGCCGGAGGACCCAAACUCUUGUUUAAACCAUAGUGGCAUAUUCUGAGUCUCACAAGAAAAAUGAAUCAAAACUUUCAACAACGGAUCUCUUGGCUCUG